AUGUGUCCUUUUGCUUGUGAUAUACACAGAAAAAAUAAAGUAAAGCACCUUCUAAAUUCCUACCCUGGCUCUGAUAAAAGCAGCAGUUAUUGUAGAAUAAAAAUGACAAUGCCUGCAUAUAUGACUCACAUACACGUCACAGAUAUCCAGGAUAAAGUCAGCAGUGCAGCCGAAGAGAACAGAAUGGAAGGAGAGAAAGCAGGCAGAGAAGAGCAAAGAAGCAAGGAAAGUUGCAUGUUUCCUGAAAAUCACAGGGGUUUUACAGACAACUUAAGCGUAUGGAACACAAUAGCUGCUGUGUACACUGCAGAGGCCUUGCAUCUGGCCAGGCUCAGCAUAUAUCAAGGAACACAGGAGGAGAUGCAGGGUCAGAUACACAGCUCUUCAGAAUGCAGUGCCAAGACCAAUGGAGUGAGAUGUUCCAGUCACAAGCACAGGUCAGCAGUGUCAGUGACCCCAGUGUUACCGCCUACACAGUUACUAGGCGAGUAGGAAGAUAUUCAGAUAUUUCCAAAUCUGUCUGGAUUCUCUCUGUGAUACACGUACAGGUGUGACCAGCCUAAAGUAGAUCUGUUCCAUUGAGAAAGAGGUGGCACAGGUUACUCCACACUGUAAGAGCUGAAGGGCUCCUCAACGUGAACUGAGUCUCUUGGGAGUGGAUUGCUGUGAAACCAGUAACCCGCUAUUCAUACCCUUUCAAGACAACAUUUUCUACCAACACCAUGUUCAAUGUGCUUCCAAGGGGCACCAAGGCCAUGGGAACACUGGAAUGGGAUAGUGCCUUUCCACCCCACCUCCUGCUGCUCCUCAGCCCAUAAAGGAGCCCUUCUAGCUGUGACGUGGCUGGCAGCAUGCAAGGGACUUUGCCAAGUGCAAAGCAGCACCAGGGAGACGGCGGCACGCUGUGCGGUGCAUCUGAGGAUUGCCAAGUUCAGCUGUGGGGACAGUCUGCAGCUAGUAGAUCUGUGCAGGGGGAACAAACACUGAAAAUGUAUAUUUUUUGGAUUUUGAUUUUAUUUGAAGAAAGGGAAAACAUUUCACCAUGGGAUUGCUGUAUGUCUUGCGCAGCAUUCUGAUUUUUCUUUCUUUCCUUUCUUUCUUUCCCUUUUUUUUUUUUUUUUUUUUUUUUUCUUUUCUUUUCUUUUCUUUUCUUUUCUUUUCUUUUUUUUUUUUUUUUUUUUUUUUUUUUGAGGGAGCCCUUUGUUGAAAUCUUGGCAGCCCAUCUCUGCCAGGAAGACAGAAGUGCUCUGUGCUAAAGCUGGACUUGGCACAUCUUCUUCGCGGCAUACGGGGCGUGCAAGGCGGUGGGGAAGGCUGCCAUCUCAUGGCGAGCCUUGCAUGCUCAGCUAGCCUACCCUGCAGCUGGCUUCCAGGCCAGGUUGCCCCUCAGCAGAUGUUUUCUCAAUAAACUAAUUAUGUGUGCAGUCCCA
rnacentral:lncRNA from 1 species